AAAUUGAAGAGUUUGAUCAUGGCUCAGAUUGAACGCUGGCGGCAGGCCUAACACAUGCAAGUCGAACGGUAACAGGAAACAGCUUGCUGUUUCGCUGACGAGUGGCGGACGGGUGAGUAAUGUCUGGGAAACUGCCUGAUGGAGGGGGAUAACUACUGGAAACGGUAGCUAAUACCGCAUAACGUCGCAAGACCAAAGAGGGGGACCUUCGGGCCUCUUGCCAUCGGAUGUGCCCAGAUGGGAUUAGCUAGUAGGUGGGGUAACGGCUCACCUAGGCGACG
rnacentral:rRNA from 1 species